UAUAAAUGCAGUGAUCGCGUUACUGUUGACUUGCUCUACAGCUAAAACCCUCAAUACUCUGCAUAUCAUCCAAAGUUACAAGUAGUAUUGAGCACCUGGUUACUUUACCGACGGACACAAAUCAAGUACGUCGUGAUGUGUAGACGCAGAGAUCAACUGAAAUCUUCAUACAAAUACAUGGCGAAACGGAUAGGCUAAGGCCUGAGCGUGCAUGAAUCCCUGCCGUACCAUGAAAUAUAUCAGCGGUUCCGUUCAGGCACGUUCCGCGUAGCCGUGUGAUCAGCAUCUUACGACGACAGUGAGCCCAUGUCAGGCAGGCGGUAGGUUAUCGUGCCCGCGGUGUGCUGAGCUGCUAGGUGCCGCUGGUAAUCUGCCAGGCGCUGCGAUGUUCCCUCCUGCAGCAGAGCGUAAAAAUCCUCGUUGCGGAAGCGAUCCAUACAUACAUACGUGGUACAAUUAAACCUCGGAUGACCGAUCGGAAGGAUUUUCGACCCUGACAGGUCUCGAUGUAUGUACGUUGUUACAGGGUGGUAUAGCUUCACCAGCGGCCCCCUUUCCCGAGGGAGUUCCCUGCUCUCCCCUGCUAGAGGGGCACCCUAAUCCGCUCACCCCAUCCGACCUCAGAAUGUAUUCGUUGGGUUCAGCAACUCACCACCAGCAUCCAACCAAAUCCAGCGGACCAACUGCGCCUCAACUUAGUUCCAGGUCAGCUCGCAAGUUGAGUAUCUCGUCCUACACUGACCAUAACAUGGGGGGCCGCCUACCAUUUCGACCCCUCUCUCACACCCGGGAGGACGGUAGACGGUUUUGAACCCGGAUACUCAGGGAGCAGAAGUCAGGCCUUAGGGCCCCUCUGCCAACCGCCUGCCCUAUGUAUGUAUGUUUGUGGAUAGGUAAAUAUGUGUUGUGCUCGCAUUAUUCAUACAACCAAUUGACAGCGGACCAAAACUAAUGUGUAUUGAUCUAGUGAGGAGGCGGUUUCCUGAGCACUACUAGUACCUGGCACCAGCUUGCACCUACAUUUGCAAGUCGUCACCAGCAUUUUGUUGCCGUUUGCUCUGCCAAUAGCCCCUGAACAGGACACCACCAUUGAACCAGUCGGUCGGCACGGUAAGCUUGGAUUCAAACAAUCAAGUGAUACCUUUCCGAAUUUGGAGUUUAAGAAGCUAGCAGCUGAAGGAGGCCUUAUCAAGGUUAAGCAAAAAGGAAUGAAAGCUGUUCAUGGUGCACCUGUACAUAAUAAAAGGAAAGAGAUGUAACGUUGCAAGGGACUAACUUAAAAAAGCAAGGCACUAUGGCUAAUGGUAUCGGUUGUAAGUUGUAAAAUGAAAAUAAUAAAAAUAUGUUUUAACAGUAAGGUUAAUUUACUACCUUUAUAUGUUUUCGUUUCCAGUUCGGCGGUUCAUGAGCCUCUUGGCUCGUUUGGACCGUACAAGCUAGAAGCUUGUAACACAAACAAAAAAAAUUAGUUGGAAGCGUCUCGAUGGAUAACACGAUUUACAUUAUUUGUAUCCUUGCUCAAUCGCAACGGCAGACCACAAAACUACAGUCCGAGUCUCGGACUACGAAAGCACAUAACAACGGAAAUCCAAUCAUAACGCGACAAGUUGGGUGUCGGCUUCAAGGAAGCCGGAAAAAGGGCGGGGCCCCUCUGCAUCCGUACAGGCCGGUAGCAAGGGUGGCAAGUGUGACAAUUGAUGGGUAGUGUCAACGCGAUGGGAGAUGUGCUUUGUUGCAGCAGUGCUGAUGGUGUGAGAGCUAAGCUUGCACCGGCGGAAUCGUCAGCACCGCCUGCGGGCUCCACGCGAAUCGCAUCCAUUCCGGGCAUGCACCCGGAAUGGACCCGGCAUUCCGGGUGCAUGCCGCACCCGGCAUUCCGGGUGCAUGCCGCAUGGACAGUGCGGCAGACCGCAAGUCGGAAU
rnacentral:lncRNA from 1 species